rnacentral:rRNA from 1 species
UGUCUUAAAGUAUAUAAUUUUAAGUCCAAUCUGCUCACUGAAUUUAUUUAAAGAGCCGCAGUAUUUUAACUGUGCAAAGGUAGCAUAAUAAAUAGUUUCUUAAUUAGUAACUGGAAUGAAAGAUUAGACGAGUAACUAACUUUUUUUAUUAUUUAAUUUGANUUUAAUUUUUAAGUGAAAAAUCUUANAUUUUAUUAAGGGACGAGAAGACCCUAUAGAUUUUAAUAUAUUUUUUGUUUUUGUAAGUAUUUAAAUGAAUUAGUUUAUUUAAUUGGGGCGAUUUUGUGAAAUAAUUAACUUAAAUUUGUCUAACCAUAAANGAUUGAAUUUUUUGAUCUGAAAUUNUUAAAUUUAAGAAAAAAUUACCUUAGGGAUAACAGUGUAAUUUCUUUUAAGAGUUCAUAUUUAAAAAGAAGCUUACUACCUCGAUGUUGAAUUAAGAUAAUGUGUUGAAGUAUAAUGUAACAUAAUUAGUCUGUUCGACUAUUAAAUUC